AGUGAACGCUGGCGGCAGGCCUAACACAUGCAAGUCGAACGGCAGCACAGUAAGAGCUUGCUCUUACGGGUGGCGAGUGGCGGACGGGUGAGGAAUACAUCGGAAUCUACUUUUUCGUGGGGGAUAACGUAGGGAAACUUACGCUAAUACCGCAUACGACCUACGGGUGAAAGCAGGGGAUCUUCGGACCUUGCGCGAUUGAAUGAGCCGAUGUCGGAUUAGCUAGUUGGCGGGGUAAAGGCCCACCAAGGCGACGAUCCGUAGCUGGUCUGAGAGGAUGAUCAGCCACACUGGAACUGAGACACGGUCCAGACUCCUACGGGAGGCAGCAGUGGGGAAUAUUGGACAAUGGGCGCAAGCCUGAUCCAGCCAUACCGCGUGGGUGAAGAGGGCCUUCGGGUUGUAAAGCCCUUUUGUUGGGAAAGAAAAGCAGCAGGUUAAUACCCCGCUGUUCUGACGGUACCCAAAGAAUAAGCACCGGCUAACUUCGUG
rnacentral:rRNA from 1 species